UCCACAAGAAACCACACUGUUAUGGGAUCU
rnacentral:piRNA from 3 species